rnacentral:rRNA from 1 species
UAAGGUCACGGCGAGACGAGCCGUUUAUCAUUAUGAUAGGUGUCAAGUGGAAGUGCAGUGAUGUAUGCGGCUGAGGCAUCCUAACAGACCGAGAGAUUUGAAC